GUGGGAGGGGGCUUGCUCCCGAUAGCGGUGGGUCAGCUAAGUAUUCAUUAACUGACACACUGCUAUCGGGAGCAAGCCCCCUCCCAC
rnacentral:misc_RNA from 1 species